CAAACAGCGGCGAGGCUGGCGGGGCUUGACAUGGUGGAGGAAAGGGACGUACGCCGGGGGCACGGGUACAAAGAGCCCUGCAGUGGGAGAGGCGUGCAAAAUCCUGACGGGAGAGAUGUGGGCAGGAGGGAAUGAAAGGCUUAGACCCCUCCAAAGCAACUGCGCCGAAUUUAUCUAACCCGUUCACAAAAUCACAGAACAGGAGACUCCUGAGUGAAGCUGCUCCAGUGCUGUAUGGUCCAGUCCUCACAGCUGCAAAGGCAUCUCCCGGGAUAUCGCCUGGUUUCAGUCUAAGCCUGCUCAUGGAAUGAUGGACAAGCUAAAGGUUGAGAAAGAGAAAAUACAGUAAAAUGCCUUUCUUAUCCUGUAAUGACCAAGGGGGAGGACACAGCCUGAUAAAAAUGACAAGCAAGAAGAAUCAAGAGCUAGACCCUUCACCUGCCUGUCUCUCAGAGGACAGAAAACACUUGAUAGACCUGCCAUGAUUGCAACUGCUGCAAGCCUGAAAGAAAGGAAUUAAGUUCUGAGUCAAUUAGAGCUACAGGUUUCUGGCCAAAGAAAUGUCCUUCUGCUGCUACUUGUGAAAAGACUAAUCCAGAGACUUACAGGAGAAAAACCUGAAGCAGGCUGAGUGUUGGGACCUAGCAGAACACACAUCUGUAGCCCUGUGUUCUAUGGCCAGAGGGCUUUGCUUAGCAUCUGGUAUCUGCAUCGUUCUGCUGCAGUGAUGGAGGCCCACACAACAUAUAGAUCCAGCUGCUGUCUUGGGCCUAUCUCUAUUUUCAACCAGCUACUUCACUCCUCUGUUUUUACUGGCAUGAGUUUUGACAGCCACCACUAGUGCUGGAUCAGCCAUUUCCUGCCGGUGAGUGACCAGGAGGCAAACAUUUCAUUUGUUAAAGUGCUCCAAAGGCAGCCUAAGCUGCUCCGCGACAAAACACUGCUAGACCUGUGUGCUUUGAGCAAAGCCCCAUCCACCUCCCCUUUAAACAAAUGGAACCUGAGGAUGCCACGGGGAGAGGUAGAUGGGGGAGAUAAUAGGCAUAAGGCUUUAUGUAUUCCUAUGGCUGCUUGAAGUAACCAUCACAGAAACUUCCAUGGAUUUUCUACUCUCCUUCCUUGCUCCUUAAUCUGGAUGGAGACUGAAAGGGGGCUCUUUCUGCUCCUUUAGGUCUGCCCUACUCAGCCUCCCACCACCCCUGCGGCUGUCUCUAGCCCCCCUGCUUGUCCGAAUACCUCCUUUACCAGGUUUGCAAGUUCGCUAGCUGGCCCUUUCUUCCCAUGCUGACCACCAGUACUUCAGGCAAAGAGCCUCAGGUUGUACCAUGUAGUCAGCUGGUGCUGCACGAGGCACUUGCCAGCUUCAAAAAGAAUGGGCUAGUCACUCUUCUCCUUGUUUCCCUGGGUUAAAAUCAUGCUAAGAGCAGGUAGAAUGACCUUCAGUAGUUCCUUUUACUUUCCCGUGCUGUAACUGCCACAGAUACGGUACUAAACUGUAACAGGAGAGGUACCACAAGCAAAUCAUGUCUGUCUGGUGGUCUCUGUAUGAAAACACAGCCCUUGAGCUGGAUGCAGCUGCUGUGUGGUUUGGGGAAGGGGGGGGCUGGAGGACUUGUGUCUUGUCUCUGCCAAGUGGCUUGGGCUUGACUCCACAGCAUGUUAGCCCCAUGGAUCAAAUUGCCCUUUGCAGCAUGCUGUGAAGACAUUUCAGACUCCCUGAUAACUGUACUCCAGGUUAAGUGAUGUGAAACAUCCCCCUCCAAUGCACACUCCAAAUUAAAACCUCACGUCAAACACAGGCAUCCCCAGUUCUUUUUAACUGGGGGAGGGAAAAUAAACCCCACAACUUAAAAGAGGUUUAAAAAUUUAAAUAUAUACUAUUUUCUGAAAGAGACAGGCAAGAAAGCAUUAUGUAUGCAAUGUAUUUCCCAACAAAUGUGAGCAGGGAGCCAAGGUACUGAGGAUAAAGGAAUGGACUGGAAGCAAAAUCCUUGAAAAGUUACUGCGAAUGCUCAAAAGCUGAGUCUCAGUGAAGCUCCGCAGCCAAAUUUACCCAAAGCUUUGAGGAUAUCUGAAUGGAUUGAUCUUUCUUAACUGCUGCGGUCCAGCCUAAAUCCCUCCUUUUGUGAACACCUGCAGUCAGAGAGGUGAGAAUGCCGUCUGGGUUUCUCCAUUUGUACCUUUCUCCAAACAAAGGCUCAGUCUAAGGCAGAGUUGAUCCCCAGCAGUAAAGCAGGCUGGCCCUCCUGUCAGACUCACUAAGGCCCUAAGAAUGGUUAAAGCCCAGCUACUUCCCACGAGGACUUUUGGGAAGCCCCAGUCACCAGACAUGGCAAUGCCCUGUUCAAGGAGGAGUACAAGGAAGGCUACGCCACUGGAGUCAGUCUUGAUCCAUCCAAGAAAGAUCAAUCCAUUCAGAUAUUCCAUUGUGGUUCAGGUUCUCAUUUAAAAAUAUGUGAUCAGGAUGGAAAAGCUUCUUCUAUCUGACCAACCCCAAGAGGAAUACCAUCAGCAGAAGCAGAGUCACUAGGCUAGUCACAAAACCAAACACAGCCCUGUAGAGUCAGGCCUCAACUUUCUGAGGUUUUCACCUUAAGAUCACCUCAGACCUGUACGAUUUUAAACCCCAGUGAUUUUUGUGCUGUAAUUCCAAACAGCGUCACCCACUGAUGGCUCCAGACACCGGGCCACAUCACGUCGCAGUUCCUGAUGCAAAGUAGGUAAAUGGCCAAGCGCACAACAGGCUUUUCCUGGGAAGGCAAGAACAAACUGGGCACAGCAGGUAAACUGGACCCAGCAAAUGUCUGGCAAACAGAAGAUCUAGUCACGCUGCUAGCAUGGGUUAUGAGGAGGGAGCACUACAGGUAACCAAAAAGCCAUCAGUUGGUCAAGCCCUCAAGAGACCGUGCUUGGCAAGAGCUGAAACCUUUCCACAGCAGCAGAAGAGGAAGGGACAUGGGUCAACCCGUAUUGAGGAACCCAGCUUCUCCCACACUGGCUCUGUAAUGAUUAGCUUCACCUUGGCAGCAAAGAGGCUUACUUAAGGGAGAAUCAACUCAGGGCAAGUAAAAGUUCUUCACCCAUCCACAUAUAGCAAAGGCAAAAGAUCAGGGAGCUGAGAGGGACAUGGCUUUGGGUCACUAGUUAGCAGCCAGUCCACCUGUUUGCAGCAGUCUCCCUCAGCAGCAUUAUAAUUUCCCAAGUCAGCAUUUAUAAUCUGACCAUGACCAAAGCCUACCUUGGGGACUUUAGACUGCGCUCUGUACACAACAUCCGUGGAGGAGGAGGGAAGGUGGCUCUACUCUGGCUCCUCCUUCAGUAUAAAGCUCGUCAAACCUGCAUCAAGGCCCGGGAUUUAAGCCUGCAAAGAGCAGCUGCUGGUGCUGCAGAGGACGGUGUGGGGCAUGUGGGCAGAGAGCUGGAGCAGAGGCAGCUGUGGCUGUAACAGGGCUGGGGGUGUGAGGCACUGAACCCUGCGGGUUAGUGAGGUCUGUGACUGAGUUCUCGCUUGUUGCUUUCUGUGGUUUGUGUUGCUGACUUUUGCAAUAUAGAGACCUUUGGUUUCUUGUGGUUUUAUUUGUUCCUUGUUGUGGGGUUUGUAGUGUGGGUUGUUUUGGUUUUUUUUUUCCCUGAGAUGACUGGAGGUGAACUUGCAGCCUGUGAAACAUGGGCAAUUUAACAUGGGCUGCACAGCUUGAUCUGCUUCUGUAGUGAGUAUAUUUGCCUCCUGCUAAGGUGUUUUAAGCAAGGUCAGUGGAAAUAAACACUAUGGGCAGCCAGCUUGAGACAAUUAGCAGAAAACAGAAUGAGAGCCAAUUUGCCCAAGCUGGUCAGGUCAGGAAAUGACAGUCCUCACAAGCCUGUGGCUCAGAGGAGGGAGAUGUCUUUCAGCGGGAACUUCUGUAAAUUCUCCCCUGGCUGAUGCAGACCAGCAUAACUGUACUGAAGUCAGGGAGAGACACUGGUGGAUCCUGGCUGUGUACUUGGGAUAUGUGUGCCAAAGGAUUUUGCUGAAUUUAUUUAGAAUCCUGAUGAAGAUUUUUUUUUUUAAUCUAGCUGCAAUUAGUUUUUUCCUGAUAUUUUGGAUGAUGUUAGGAAAGGGAAUUUGCUUGUCAUGACACUAUUUAUUCUGUGUUUUCUGCAAUACCUUUUUGCUAAAGAGCUGGAAACUACAGAGGUCAAAGUGACCACUAUGGAUAUCCACAAUGUGAGAGUAGCUCUCUACCAGGGUGAAAAUCUGUCUAACAGGCUGAAUGAGGGCACAUUUGCACUCUGAGUUAGGCAGCAAAGGCUGGUAGCAGAACCCCAUGAAAUCAAAAGGUGUUUCCUAUAAAUGCAGAGGCCUUAUGGUAAUAUGGCCCAGUGCAGGGGGACAGUUUCAAUUAAGCUGGAUGGAGGAAGCCAGGAUGUUUUUUCUCAGCUGAAAAGUGUUUUGGCUUCCUUCUGACCAGAGGACAGGAAAAGAUUUUGCUUUGGGAACUGAGGCACCUCUUCUUGGCUUUAUGAUCACUGUGCAACCAGGCUUAAAUGUUCUGGGAGCAAGUUCCAUCAGCUCGUUUCCAGCCAUGGUAGGUCCUGAAAUAGCAAACAUCAGACCUAUGACUGGUUCUUCGACCUAGCAGUGCUAUUUUGGCAGCAGGCCCAGGGUUAAACAUAACAAGAGUAAUUUUCAGUCCUUACUCUCAUGAAGGUCAGUGUCCCAAAUGGUUGGAUGUUUGUCUUAGCUGUUUCCGGACAAGGUCUGCAUUUUGUAAUGAUAAGGUGAAAUUCAGAGGUCCUCAUGCUGGCAGUCUCCUGCUAACUCUAAUUAGAAAGCCUGCUUUUCCUAAAUAAGGAUGUCAGGAUUUUGGUCAUUGCAUUGCCAAUUUUUAAUGGUUAUGACUAUUUUGAGUGGGGUGUUCUUUUGUUGUUGCUGUAAGGGCUCACUGUUCCCUUUUACCUCCAGCCCAUGACUUUCACAGGAUAGUUCAGCCCAUUCUUAGCCUUAAGCCUAGCUUACCAGAAUCGCCCAUUGCCAGGUGAGACUUUGAGGUUCAUUCAUCUGCUCAGGUCACAUGGAGGAAGCAGUCCCCCUCUUAGCAAUAAGCCUGGCUCGCUCUGGCUUGCCAAAUGCCUUCUGAGAUGUGUCUCCUCCCCUCUAAAGCUCCCUCAAAAAGCUAUCAGAGAGGUCAGCCACAAAUUGGUCCCAUUUUUUCUGCCAGACAUCUUUGGCCUUGGCUUUCUCAUCUGGUAG